AUUGAACGCUGGCGGCAUGCCUUACACAUGCAAGUCGAACGGCAGCACGGGAGCAAUCCUGGUGGCGAGUGGCGCACGGGUGAGUAAUACAUCGGAACGUGCCCAAUCGUGGGGGAUAACGCAGCGAAAGCUGUGCUAAUACCGCAUACGAUCUACGGAUGAAAGCAGGUGACCGCAAGGCCUUGCGCGAGUGGAGCGGCCGAUGGCAGAUUAGGUAGUUGGUGGGGUAAAGGCUGACUAAGCAAACGAUCUGUAGCUGGACUGAGAGGACGACCAGCCACACUAGGACUGAGACACGGCCCAGAGUCCUAAGGGAGGCAGCAGUGGGGAAUGUUGGACAAUGGUCGCAAGCCUGAUCCAGCCAUGCCGCGUGCAGGAUGAAGGCCUUCGGGUUGUAAACUGCCUUUGUACGGAACGAAACGGCCUUUUCUAAUAAAGAGGGUUAAUGACGGUACCGGAAGAAUAAGCACCGGCUAACUACGUG
rnacentral:rRNA from 1 species